UGCAANUCGAUUCGAUUUACCUUCGGGUAUUGAGGAUGGCGGACGGGUGAGUAACGNGUAAGGAACUUGCCUCUUGNUCUGGGACAACUGUUGGAAACGACAGCUAAUACCGGAUAUUAUGAGAUUCUNGCAUGGGAAACUUAUGAAAGCUAUAUGCGCCAAGAGAGAGCCUUGCGUUNCAUNAGCUAGUUGGUGGGGUAACGGCCCACCAAGGCGACGAUGGAUAGCCGGCCUGAGAGGGUGAACGGCCACAAGGGGACUGAGACACGGCCCUUACUCCUACGGGAGGCAGCAGUGGGGAAUAUUGGACAAUGGACCAAAAGUCUGAUCCAGCAAUUCUGUGUGCACGAUGAAGGUCUUCGGAUUGUAAAGUGCUUUCAGUUGGGAAGAAGCAAGUGACGGUACCAACAGAAGAAGCGACGGCUAAAUACGUGCCAGCAGCCGCGGUAAUACGUAUGUCGCAAGCGUUAUCCGGAUUUAUUGGGCGUAAAGCGCGUCUAGGCGGAAAAAUAAGUCUGAUGUUAAAAUGCGGGGCUCAACUCCGUAUUGCGUUGGAAACUGUUUUUCUAGAGUACUGGAGAGGUGGGCGGAACUACAAGUGUAGAGGUGAAAUUCGUAGAUAUUUGUAGGAAUGCCGAUGGAGAAGUCAGCUCACUGGACAGAUACUGACGCUAAAGCGCGAAAGCGUGGGGAGCAAACAGGAUUAGAUACCCUGGUAGUCCACGCCGUAAACGAUGAUCACUAGGUGUUGGGGGUCGAACCUCAGCGCCCAAGCUAACGCGAUAAGUGAUC
rnacentral:rRNA from 1 species